rnacentral:rRNA from 1 species
CCUACGGGUGACAGCAGUGAGGAAUAUUGGUCAAUGGUCGGGAGACUGAACCAGCCAAGCCGCGUGAGGGAUGAAGGUACAGAGUAUCGUAAACCUCUUUUGUCAGGGAACAAAGGCGGGGACGUGUCCCCGGAUGAGUGUACCUGAAGAAAAAGCAUCGGCUAACUCCGUGCCAGCAGCCGCGGUAAUACGGAGGAUGCGAGCGUUAUCCGGAUUUAUGGGGUUAAAGGGGUGCGCAGGCGGUCUGUUAAGUCAGCGGUCAAAGCCCGGGGUUCACCCCCGGCCCGCCGUUGAAACUGGCAGUCUCGAGUUGGAGAGAAGUAUGCGGAAUGCGCGGUGUAGCGGUGAAAUGCAUAGAUAUCGCGCAGAACUCCGAUUGCGAAGGCAGCAUGCCGGCUCCACACUGACGCUGAGGCACGAAAGCGUGGGUAUCGAACAGGAUUAGAUACCCCGGUAGUC